UUGACCUCGGAUCAGGUAGGAAUACCCGCUGAACUUAAGCAUAUCAAUGGGCGGAGGAA
rnacentral:rRNA from 1 species